rnacentral:rRNA from 1 species
ACGGAAGGGCAGCAGUGGGGGAUAUUGCACAAUGGGGGAAACCCUGAUGCAGCGACGCCGCGUGAGUGAAGAAGUAUUUCGGUAUGUAAAGCUCUAUCAGCAGGAAAGAUAAUGACGGUACCUGACUAAGAAGCACCGGCUAAAUACGUGCCAGCAGCCGCGGUAAUACGUAUGGUGCAAGCGUUAUCCGGAUUUACUGGGUGUAAAGGGAGCGUAGACGGCAUGGCAAGCCAGAUGUGAAAGGCAGGGGCUCAACUCCUGGACUGCAUUUGGAACUGUCAAGCUAGAGUAUCGGAGAGGUAAGUGGAAUUCCUAGUGUAGCGGUGAAAUGCGUAGAUAUUAGGAGGAACACCAGUGGCGAAGGCGGCUUGCUGGACGAUAACUGACGUUGAGGCUCGAAAGCGUGGGGAGCAAACAGGAUUAGAUACCCUGGUA